AGUCGCGUGCUUUGUUGGAAAGCAUUGUCGUGUUAUUGUUGCUUUGUGUUUAAUAAAUAGCGUUUAAAGACUCGCGAUUACACCGUGAGAAACGUUAUUUGUGAUAAUUGAUCCUCGAAGAGUAAUUCUCGACAGAUAAUUAAUGGAAUUCGAAUGUUACAGUCGGAUCGAUUCGUGACGAGCGAGAACGAAUUUUUUUGAGUUCGCAAUGACUUUUAAUGUUUAACUUUACUUUAUACGUCGUUUUCGAGAUUACUGGUUCCGUGCUUGAGUGUUUUGCUAUAAGUGAAGGAAGUAAUGGGAAAAAAGAUUGUGAUAACGUUGCAGAGAAAUGCAUACUGCAGGUUGAUAAGCACAAAGCAAUCUGCUAGGAGUGUUGCGUGUAGCUAAAGUUAAUUGAAACUAAAGUAUUUCCGUGAUUGUUAAAAAGAAAUGCUGCGUGAUAAGGUUAACUGCUUAAGACUGUUUAAGCAGUUAGGCAAGCGUACCCUUUUCUUUCUACAAUACUUCGGAUCGUUGGACCUUUAACGUGCGUUACACGCCUGCCUGUACUCGAGAUGAAAAUACGAUUCAGUAAUCGUAAAAUGGCCUUCAAUUGCCACUGAUCUUUCAUCGAAACUCGCCGUAAUGCACUUCCUUAUACUGUACUCAGACUUCCAAGGAAGUUUUCAUAUAGAAAUCAAUAACAGCGUGGCAAUUCGACGAAACAUUACGCAGUUAAUUCUUUUAAGAAUCGUACAAGCGCGAAGCGUGACGAUGUGCCGUAAUAACGGGAAUUCACAGAUUAUUCCUUUCGUCCGUUACAAGAUCGUCGGACCUUGAAGGUACAAGAGAAAAGAUCCAACAAGAUAAGAUUAACGUAUACGAAAUUUUUUGGAAUACACACACAACCCGAAUUCGAAAUCUUGCCGAACACAUUAAACAGAUUGACUUGUGACAACAAGUGGUGGGGGUAAAGAUUCCAAAACUCCUACGUCUGCUGAUAUCCCAAAGUCUCUAUACUCAAUUAGCGACAGGGUUAAUGAGUAUAUAACACCAGGUGUUUUACGAGGCCAAAGUAGAACGAGGAAACCCUCUAGAGAAGCUUAUCACAGGGUUACCGCGUCAUUACGGCGGGUACCAACAGCACCGGAAACGGAAACAGCGACCGAUGCACAGUUUCCAACCCAAUUCGCCAUAAGGGACCGGUAAUAAUCCCACCCAAUCCACGCAGCUAUUCACCUGCUAUCCAGCCAAGCUUACCAACCACUUGAAAUCCAACGGGCUGCUAUCUGGAGGUUGCAUAAAUAAUUGGGGUAUCGCGUUUCAGCGUAUGUGAAAAAACGAGGGUUGCGUACUGUAGUACAGAAUACCUGGGUACAAGUCGAUCGUCCCACACUGGUUACGCUGGGAUAAGCACUGACUUCGAGUAAUAAAAGGAAAAAGAUACACGAGUCAUUGACAUACGGGUAUAUCCGUAGCAACGUGCUUACGCAACCGCAAGGUUGGUACCAAGAGAUUCCAGGCUGCAAAGUCUAAAGAAUAUACGUAACGCACAAUGGCCACUGUAUAUUCUCAUGGGACGCUACGCUUCGUAUCCUUUGCCUGACAAAGUGUCGCCUUCUGAUUCCAUCCUGGCAAACUAGAUAGAGGCUAUGACCACUUCCGGUUCUCGAUUUCAUCCAUCCCGGUUCCUGUGGGGUUCAGGCAGACCGGAAGGAAAGCUAGAUGGAUAUCUCGAAAACUCAAAAUUUUUAUGCACGAUGGGCGAAAAGCGUUAAUACCAGAAAACCGUCGCAGGGUAUUAUGGGUAACAGCGUGGCAAAGGUUGUUUUGCAUUUUGCAGAAGACUCUGUGAAUAUUCAUGAAAAAUGUGCGGAUGGACAAACUUUCGUAUAAAGAUCUUCUGCCGAGCAUCCUUCGUACUGCAAGUAAUAAUUUGCAUAAGAAAUGCAAUAAAAAAAUAAAGGAUCCUCAUAACGUUACCAAUUAAUUUUAAAGGACAGGUAUAACGUAAAUAUGUAAUUUAUCUAGCAGCAUCUCGUUCCCUCCAACACCAAAGGAAAUAGGUCUGGCCUCUUUCAUCCUACUGGAAGUAAGACCAAGGAAAAAAAGAAGCGUCACCUGCAUUUUCUCAGUGUUUCUCAAGUCUCGACCAAAUUCUAUCCGGAGGAGUUUAUGGCUCGAGUCUGCAGCCACCACCCCUCCAACCCUCCGCUACCCCCUCUCUCCGUCAUCAAAACCGUAUAGCCACGAAUCUGCUUUUCAAAUAUUUAACCGGGAAUACCUUUUCCCGUGGGACGUCAGAUCUAAUUCAAUUUUCUAGCUGCUGGUUCACGCCUUGGGGCACUUAUCCUGGGUCGCCCCUUUGUCGUUCUGAGUCCCUCUUGCUGUUCGCUGCCUGGCUGCUUCCUGUUCCACAAACUUCUCAGGUAAGGUAAGGUACGGUUAUCCUUGGCACGCGCAAGACAGGUGUUCGUCAGCCGGUGCAUCUGCCUUCCUGGUGGCUGAUGAUGGGGAUACCCGCAGAAAGAAAGCUUCACUGUUUUUUUUCUUCUCCUCCCUGCCAGACACUCUGCUGCAUCCCGAGACUUCCCGAAUGCCAGAUGAUGUUGGGGUCCAGUUUCGAAAAUUCAAAAAUCGAUUUUUAUCAUCGACCGGGAACCCCCAAAAAGGUCGAAAUUUUUUUUUACAAGUUAUUUAUUAACUGAGCUCGUAGCGAAAAAAUUGGGGAAAAAAGCGAUGAGAAAAGAUACUGAAUUCAGAAGAACCAAGUCGGUCCCGUAUUUCCGAUAAAUCGUCGGAACAGUCGAGGGGCACGCGUCAGGGGCGUAGCAGUUGUUCGCCAAGAAGGGCACCACCGGGCCGUCGAAAUCGAAGGAAGUCCCUUCGGCGAGUAACACACACUUUGCUGGAAAACGGUUUUGCCAUUAAACCAUAAAUAUUAUUUAUUGCCAAGAUGAGGGAGAUGGAUAUAUAUAGUAGCAGGUACAGUCACUGCAGUAACUAAUACAUAAGUCCCUCUAUAGAGCCCACAGUCCCGCGGGCACUUUUACGACCAAGUCUCCUUCUGCCACUGCUCGUUAAAGCAUAGAAGGAAAAAUGUCCCGCGGCUAGAUGGGAAUUAAAUGCGAAUUAAAUAUGCCGCGGGAAAUUAAUAAAUUCAUUUAACACGCUACUACGGCGCGCUCCAGAUUUUUUUUUCAUUUAUGAAUUUUAGAUGGUACAGUGUAGCGUACGUGGAACACUAGUCUAUAUAUGUAUGAGAAGUAACAUAUGCGCAAUUCAAACGGCAAAAAUGUCACUUGCAUAUAACACGUACGAUUUUCACAUAUCGAAAUAUUAGCUUUGACUAUCUUCAUACGAUUUACAUAAAUUACAAUAUAGGAUAGUUGGCGUUCGAUAGACAUUUUUUUAUAUUAAAAAUUUUUUUACACAAUAUUUCAUACCAAUCCGCAUUUACGUUUUUGAGCUUCGACGAAUGUUUAUCCAAUUUUAUUCAUGGCUUCAAGACCCCUCGUAUGUUAACGAUCUAACAUUGAUGAUUUUCAAUAUUAGAUCGAGCGAAAGGAUGAAGACUGACAGUGUUAUUUACGAUGGUUUUAUAGCAAACAAUUUUUGCGUUUUUUUUUUAUAUUAUUUACGGUACCAUUGAUACUAUUUGUAGGAGCUGGGUUGAGGCAGCUGUGUGUAGCGAAGACGCUCGAGCGGAAAAGAUGGUUUCGAACGUAUUACGUAAGCAUCGAUAUUACGCCAACUUCACGUGAAAAAUUGCCCCAUACGUUUUGCUUAUACACCAGUCAUACAUUUUUCCCAUUCGUUCGUUCUCUUUAUUAUUUGCUCUGGAAAAAAAUUUUUUUUUCUCUCAGGUUAAAAGUAUCUCUUUAUAUCGAAUUUAUAUUCGAACAGGGGCGAUGCUUAACGAAUAACAAUAAUAUUGGAAUAUUCGAUCAUUUUAUUAAUUCGUAUACCUAAUAUUACGUAUACCUUAAUACAAGGUAGUAUACAGGGUAAUUAUUUUGCACCGUUGUGAAAUGUAAAUAUGAAUUACAUAAAGAGUCAUAAUAAUAAUCAAAUAAAUAAUUAUUAAUAAUUAUUCGGAGAGGGCUAGCGACGAGAACUUUUCACUAUAUCUUGCAGAGACUUUGGAACUAUUGAUCCUGACCAUAAUCGAGCCCAGAUUUUACAUUUAAAGAUCAACAUCUCCCCUUUUUCGAUUUUUUGAGUUAUACAUAACCUCACGCCUUAAAAUUUUUUUCUACGCUUAAAGUAGUAGAACUGUAGCUAAAAUGUUGGGAAUCUUAUAGAACUAUGUGGGAAACAUAUUUUCAUGGCUUUGGAAGUCGAAAUAUCAUGAGAUGCUGGAAGGUCAAAUGCGAAGUUCGUAUCUCAUCCCUUAAAUAUUCGAUUCUAGGGGUAGUUUUAUGAACUAUCGCUAAAAAUGGUUUGAACUAUAGAACUAUGUGGGAUGCAAGUAAAUCAACCGUUUCUUGGUGAGAUUCUAACAACUCAUAUGCUAAGUUCAUACACGCGUGAAUAUUUAUAUGCAA